UCCCUGACCCCACUGGGGUGGGUGGGGGAGACCCGCGGCAGCGCUGGCCCUCCAUGUCUCACUUAGUGCUUCUGCAGAGGGGGAUGAGGCAGGGACCACUUUGCCAAUCUGGUUGUGGGCAGCUCCUGGGAGCGGAGGCAUGGAAGGAGGCUGCUGGAGCCAGCCCAUGGCAUGGCGAGGCUGAGAGGCUGGGACAGGGCUGCAGGAGGUCCCCUGAAAUCUCAUAUAUUGUGAGAAACAAGGAGUUGCUGUGUCUGGUUUGUCCUGGGGAGCCCAGGCAUGGUCUCCCUGGUGCCGUCAGAGGAGCAGGCUCCCUGCUCAUGGAGCCCUGAGCUCCAGCCACCAUUCCCAGUGUCACUGGGCUCUGUCACCACAAGGACACACUGCUGACACCUGCUCAGCCUCUGGUUCGUGUGUCCCCCAGGCAUCUUCAGCAUGGAUGCUUGCUUGCCCAUCUUGACGCAUGGCAUUUCUCCUUCCUUCCCAGCUGCAGGACUUGCCCUUUCCCCCAUCCAACCUCAGCAAGCUCCCAUCACACAGUUUCUCCGGGUCCCACGGAACAUCAGUCCUGCCCUCUGGUAUAUCCACUACUGCCCACUCUGUGUUGCCCCCAAGCUGGCUGAGGCCAUCCCCAUUCCAUCAUCCAGAGCACCGGUGAAGGCCUCAAGAAGCAUCCGCCCCAGGACUGACCCCGCAGGGAUGUUGCCAGCUGGACAAGUGUCACUGACAACCCGCCCUCUGCAGCCCUCCUGCCAUCCAUAUUUCCACCCACCUUCUUUUCCUCUUCUGGCCACAUCUCCCCACUCUGCCAGCAAGCAGACCAUGGGAAACUAUGUCCCAGACCUCAAAGGUUCGUGAUGAAUGGCCCCCAUUGCUCUGGCCUUGGCCACAGCCCAGUGUUCCCACAGCAGCAGACAGGUCAGACAGGCAUCACUUGCCCUUGGUAAAUCCUGCCUGGCUUUCCCCAUCUAUCAGCAUGUUCUCCUUGGGCCUGGACCAUCACAUGCCCAGUAGGACAUGCUCCAUCUUCUUCCUGGGAUAAAGGUUCUUCUCUGGGAGAACGAAACUCAGCUCUGGGACGGGCUGUGGCCAAGGGCAGGUGAUGGAGGGAGAAGAAAGGGCAGGGCAGGAGUCAGCAGCAGUGACAGAGGCGACUGGCAGCCCGUAAAACUGAAGGACACCCCAAGGGGGACAGUCUGGGGACACCAAUGGCACCAUCAUACCCAGCUUCAUAAGGUGCAAGAUGCAUCUCCCAAACCAGCCUCAGUGGAACGCAGCAGAGACACCUUCUUUUCCAACCUGUAUCUCCAGAGCUACAAAGUGCAGCUGGGGCAAUGGUGCCCACGGAUGUGACUGUGCAGGAGGGAGAGCAUGUGUUUUCUGUGCACCCCCAGAUCCUGUCCCUCAGUCCUGCAAUGGAAGGGUGGUCUCAGAGUUCACCCCUUGGCAGGGAGAGGAGAGAGGAUAUUGACUGGGCUGGUCAGAUUUGGGAGCUUCUCACAGAUUCAUAGAAAAUCAUCACAGCAGUACGAGUUGCUUAUCUUCCCAUAGGAUGUACUAGCACAGAGAGGGAGCUAACUGUUCCAAAAGGGAAGGGGCAUGUGAGAGGUACCACCACCAUGCUCCCAGCCUGCUGCCAGCCCCAUGGUGCACGCCCAUGCAGCUGCAGCUCCAAGGCUCCUUAGCCUGGGCAGGAAGGCCAGAGCACUGCCCAUGCCCGAGGAUCAGUCCCAUGGGCGGGAGAGAUGCCCAGGCACUGCUCAGCACCUCUACCCAUUGCUGGUGAAGCUGGGAGAGCUACAGGUGGCCAAGAUGGAACAACUUACUCUUUAUAUGGCUUCUCAGACAGC